rnacentral:rRNA from 1 species
GGGAGGCAGCAGUGGGGAAUAUUGGACAACUGGCGCAGCCUGAUCCAGCAUGCCGCGUGAGUGAUGAAGGCCUUAGGGUUGUAAAGCUCUUUUACCCGGGAUGAUAAUGACAGUACCGGGAGAAUAAGCUCCGGCUAACUCCGUGCCAGCAGCCGCGGUAAUAGA